GUGGGGAAUAUUGGACAAUGGGCGCAAGCCUGAUCCAGCCAUACCGCGUGGGUGAAGAAGGUCUUCGGAUUGUAAAGCACUUUAAGUUGGGAGGAAGGGCAGUAAGUUAAUACCUUGCUGUUUUGACGUUACCGACAGAAUAAGCACCGGCUAACUUCGUGCCAGCAGCCGCGGUAAUACGAAGGGUGCAAGCGUUAAUCGGAAUUACUGGGCGUAAAGCGCGCGUAGGUGGUUUUGUAAGUUGGAGGUGAAAUCCCCGGGCUCAACCUGGGAACUGCCUCCAAAACUGCAUGACUAGAGUACGGUAGAGGGUAGUGGAAUUUCCUGUGUAGCGGUGAAAUGCGUAGAUAUAGGAAGGAACACCAGUGGCGAAGGCGACUACCUGGACUGAUACUGACACUGAGGUGCGAAAGCGUGGGGAGCAAACAGGAUUAGAUACCCCUGUAGUCC
rnacentral:rRNA from 1 species